CGGCGGUAAUACGUAGGGUGCAAGCGUUAUCCGGAAUUAUUGGGCGUAAAGAGCUCGUAGGCGGUUUGUCGCGUCUGCUGUGAAAACUGGAGGCUCAACCUCCAGCCUGCAGUGGGUACGGGCAGACUAGAGUGCGGUAGGGGAGAUUGGAAUUCCUGGUGUAGCGGUGGAAUGCGCAGAUAUCAGGAGGAACACCGAUGGCGAAGGCAGAUCUCUGGGCCGUAACUGACGCUGAGGAGCGAAAGCAUGGGGAGCGAACAGGAUUAGAUACCCUGGUAGUCCAUGCCGUAAACGUUGGGAACUAGAUGUAGGGACCAUUCCACGGUUUCUGUGUCGCAGCUAACGCAUUAAGUUCCCCGCCUGGGGAGUACGGCCGCAAGGCUAAAACUCAAAGGAAUUG
rnacentral:rRNA from 1 species